AUACGGAGGGUGCAAGCGUUAUUCGGAAUCACUGGGCGUAAAGGACGCGUAGGCGGGUUGGCAAGUCAGAUGUGAAAUCCUACAGCUUAACUGUAGAACUGCAUUUGAAACUGCUAACCUAGAGUAUGGGAGGGGGAGAUGGAAUUAGUGGUGUAGGGGUAAAAUCCGUAGAUAUCACUAGGAAUACCGAAAGCGAAGGCGAUCUCCUGGAACAUAACUGACGCUAAGGCGUGAAAGCGUGGGGAACAAACAGGAUUAGAAACCCUUGUAGUCC
rnacentral:rRNA from 1 species